rnacentral:rRNA from 1 species
AGAGUUUGAUCCUGGCUCAGAACGAACGCUGGCGGCGUGGCUAAGACAUGCAAGUCGAACGAACCGGUCAAUUGGGUAACUGAGAGAUCGGUUAGUGGCGAAAGGGUGAGGAAUAGAUAGGUAACGUACCCUGUACUUCGGGAUAGCGUCAUCUCCGCAAGGGGAUUUCCGAAAGGGGCAUUAAUACCGAAUGAUAUGAUCUGCUUAUGGCGGAUUAUCAAAGAUUUAUCGGUGCAGGAGCGGCCUAUCUCCUAUCAGCUAGUUGGUGAGGUAAUGGCUCACCAAGGCAAUGACGGGUAGCGGGACUGAGAGGUUGGCCCGCCACAUCGGGACUGAGACACUGCCCCGGACCUCCACGGAGGGCUGCAGUAACGAAUAUUGGGCAAUGGGCGAAAGCCUGACCCAGCGACGCCGCGUGUGGGAGGAAGUUCCUCGGAAUGUAAACCACUGUCAGGGAGAAGAAAGUCCGCAAGGAUUGAUCUAUCCCAAAGGAAGCAACGGCUAACUUCGUGCCAGCAGCCGCGGUAAUACGAAGGUUGCAAGCGUUGUUCGGAAUCACUGGGCUUAAAGCGUAUGUAGGCGGAUGAGUAAGCGUUUUGUGAAAUCCCCCGGCUUAACCGGGGAAUUGCUUGGCGAACUGCUCAUCUUGAGGCAAAUAGGGGUACAUGGAACUCUUGGUGGAACGGUGGAAUGCGUAGAUAUCAAGAGGAACGCCAGCGGCGAAAAGCGGUGUACUGGAUUUGUCCUGACGCUCAGAUACGAAAGCGUGGGGAGCAAACGGGAUUAGAUACCCCGGUAGUCCACGCCCUAAACGAUGCCUACUAGGUUGUAGAAGCUCUGACGCUUUUACGGCCGAAGCAAAAGUGUUAAGUAGGCCGCCUGGGAAGUACGGUCGCAAGGCUAAAACUCAAAGGAAUUGACGGGGGCUCACACAAGCGGUGGAGUAUGUGGAUUAAUUCGAAGCAACGCGCAGAACCUUACCUGGGUUUGACAUGGUUGGAUGGCUUGCUGGAAACAGUGUAGUCUGCCCGCAAGGGUGAAACUUCCACAGGUGCUGCAUGGCUGUCGUCAGCUCGUGUCGUGAGAUGUCGGGUUAAGUCCCUUAACGAGCGAAACCCUUGUCAUUAGUUACCAUCAGUUCAGCUGGGGACUCUAAUGAGACUGCCGGUGUUAAACCGGAGGAAGGUGGGGAUGACGUCAAGUCCUCAUGGCCUUUAUGCCCAGGGCCUCACACGUACUACAAUGGCGGAUACAAAGCGACGCAAGACCGCAAGGUGGAGCAAAUCGCACAAAGUUCGCCCCAGUUCAGAUUGCAGGCUGCAACUCGUCUGCAUGAAGUUGGAAUCGCUAGUAAUCGUGGAUCAUCUACGCCGCGGUGAAUGUGUUCCUGAGCCUUGUACACACCGCCCGUCAAGUCAUGGGAGCCGGGAGUACCCGAAGUCGGAUUGCCAACCGCAAGGAAGCGUCUGCCGACGGUAAGCUCGGUGACUGGGACUAAGUCGUAACAAGGUAACC